rnacentral:misc_RNA from 1 species
AGGAACCUUCUUCUUCUUCUUCUUCUUCUUCUUAUCGCCCAAUGGAUUUCUGCCCUUCUUGGAGCAAAGUACCACGCUUUAUAUAACCAGUGGGGCUACAGUCGUGGGGGAAUGACUGCGCCCUUAUUGUCUGCCUUACAAUGUUGAUUCUUUCUCCUUUUCCUCGCUUAUUUCUCAUGCGGUGACUGCAUUAAUUAUCUCCAACUAGUAAGGACAAUCCUUUGGCUUUUGAACUCGAUAAGAUUGAUAAUUAUCAUAAUUAUAUAAAACAAAUUACAUUUAAAAGUUAGAGAUAUCAUUCAUUAUAACUUAAUUCCACUAUCCAUUAUAAACCCAACCAUUGCCUUAGCAAUCUGUUUAUUUAGAUUUAUUAUCAGAUACUCUACCGUAAACGGAGCGUAAAGUUUUAAUUCAAACAACUUAUUAUUACAAAGGUCAUUUCUUUUCUGUGACAAAUUAGGGCAUGUCGAAAAUAUAUGAUUAAUAUCCUGCAACUGACAUCCACACUCACAAUCCGGUGAAUCUAUUAAGCCAAACUUAAAUCUUGUUGCGUUGGUAUAGGGAUAUCCAGUAACCAGUCUAGAAAGAAUACAAGAAAAAAUUCUUGGAAAAUUAUACUUAGAUACAUGUCUAAUAUUCAACUCAGAGAAAUUGUUCAUAAAAUAACUGCCAGUAUUAAUAUUUAUUCGAUCAAAAAAGUCCUUAUCGGCCUGUUUAUAAUUGCGCACACAUACGGUGCCGCUCUGCGCCAUUCCGUUAAUUCCGUGCCCUUUAAUGAUUUAAAGCUGCUUUCACGCGCAGAGCCGAGUUUACUGUUUGAAGUUAACCUCCAACGACAAUCUUUUCGCGCUCCAAUCGCGUAAACUGCGUUCGGAUUUUCGAACGAAAGACGAAACGUCGCGAUAUCUUCGCAAUGGACGAGGACACGGAUCAACUGAGCAAAUACAUGAAGCAUUCGCUGAAAACGGCACCGAAAUCAAACGUGCUGGAGUGUCGAGUUUGCGAGGAGGUUUUUACAGUGGAUGGGUUGAAGGUACCACGUUUGUUGCAUUGUGGACACACGGUAUGUCACUCAUGUCUGCUGCGAUUGAGAACUUGCAUGUCGGAGCAGCAGUUUUUGCUGUGUCCCUUCGAUCGACAGCCCACUGCCAUAGGUCUCCACGAGAAUAGCGUUUACAGUCUGAAGAAGAACUUUGCGCUCAUCGAGCUGCUUGAGCGGUUGGAGCAAUCCAACAGCCAGAAGACGCUGGUGCUGGAACGCGAGAGACUUCAGUCAAAUCUAUCAUGCGACGAGGAUGAGACGCAUACCGCAGUUCUCUAUUGCACUGUCUGUGCCACGCAUUUAUGUGAGGCAUGUGACACCGCCACACACUCAUCUAAGACAUUGGGCAAACACAGACGCGUGCCUCUGUCGGAAAAACCACGCGAGAAGCCUCGCUGUCCGAUACACACGGCGCACGUAGCUGAGUUCACGUGCACUCAAGAAGGUUGUCACAAUUCUUUAAUGUGCUACUUGUGUAAAGAGUAUGGCAAGCACAGUACACACAAGCCAGCAUUAGUCGAGGAGGAAGCGGAGAAUAUCAGGAAAACCAUUAUCGCGGCAUUGCAAAAGAUGACACAGUUUAUGGAAAGCAUGAGAGAUACUGCACACAAGAUAGAAAUAGUAAUCGAAGAAUUGGAAGGCUGGGCAAUCGAAGACGCGAGAAGGAGGGUACGGUAUCAUUUUGAGGAAUUACGUGCUGUUUUGGCUGAACAAGAAAAAACAGCAAUGACGUACAUCGAGACAGAGACUCGUGGUAGACUUUGCGCAUUGAGACAACAACAAAAGGAUCUCACGACCACGAGAUCACAAGUGGCUGGGAUAUGUAUCCAAUGCGAAAGCAUACUCGAUUCCGAAGAUUGGAAAUUGCUGAGCAGCUCAGAGAAGGUCAAGGAAGUGCUGGCGACACUGGAGCAACAGCAGCAGCAUUAUGCGCAAUUAGGACCGGAUUUUCUCAGUCCCGAGUCCUCCAUUCCCAUUAUAUUUAGCAGGGAUAACAGGAUACACAUUGGAACAAAGAUUGACAUGCGUGUAGUAAUCCUGGGAUUAGAUGGGGUGGGAAAAACAAGCAUUUUAUCUGCCAUGCGAGGCGUUACGUUAUCAAAUCCACCAAUUCCUACUAUUGGUUUCAACGUCGAAAGCUUGGAAUACAUGAAUCUCGUAUUUACUCUCUGGGAUGUUAGUGGUCAUAAAAAGUUCAGGCCACUGUGGAAACAUUAUUAUCAUAAUACACAAGCCAUUAUUUUUGUGGUCGACGCUAGCGAUAGGUCUCGCUUCGAAGAGGCACGAAAAGAAUUAUCAAAAAUACUUUAUGAACAAGAAUUAAAGGAUGAUCUACUUUUAAUCUAUGCUAAUAAACAGGACGUUUCUGGUUGUGCUAGUGUAGAGGAACUGGUUGAUAUAUUUGGUUUGCAUAAACUUUGUUGUGCGAGAAUUUGGCACAUUCAAAGCUCAUCAGUAGUUACCAAUGCCAGCGGUGUGUUGCAAGGUCUCGACUGGCUUUCGACUCAAUGUGUGUAGAACUCUCUUUUAUAAAAUUAUUUAUAUAUAGAAAAAGCCGAGAAGAUACGUUUCAUGCUAAUUGGCUUUCUCGCGAGGACGGUAUGAAGCAGACUGAAAUUAAAUAGCUCUGUUAGUUCGUCAAUCUACGAGAUAAAUCUGUUCUAUUAAGUCACGCUAUACCAAAAAAAAUUCGUAAGUCACAAGAUAGUUGUUUCGAAGAAAAAUGAUGUUUAUUUUCCGAUAUAAAAAUGGAGUUACAAGAUUAAUUAUAUUCGAACAUGAUAUAAUAAAAUAGCGUGUAUAUGCAUGUAUGUACAUAUACAGUGGUAAUUGGAAGCAAUUUGCACAAUCGAUUCGUACAUAUUAUUACUACUAAAUGAUGAAAAUGGAUCAGCAACAGGAUUGGGUUUUCGCAUUCGAUCGAGGUGAGCGCUUGAGGCGCCACGAAAAUAAACGCCUGAGCACAUCUAGAAAAA